rnacentral:rRNA from 1 species
UACGUAGGUGGCGAGCGUUGUCCGGAAUUACUGGGGGUAAAGCGCGUGUAGGCGGCAGGCCAAGUCGGUGGUGAAAGCGCCCGGCUCAACUGGGCGAGGUCCAUGGAAACUGGUCAGCUGGAGGACGGUAGAGGCGAGUGGAAUUCCCGGUGUAGUGGUGAAAUGCGUAGAGAUCGGGAGGAACACCUGUGGCGAAGGCGGCUCGCUGGGCCGGUCCUGACGCUGAAACGCGAAGGCGUGGGGAGCGAACGGG